rnacentral:rRNA from 1 species
AUUGAACGCUGGCGGCAGGCCUAACACAUGCAAGUCGAGCGGAUGAAGGGAGCUUGCUCCUGGCUUCAGCGGCGGACGGGUGAGUAAUGCCUAGGAAUCUGCCUGGUCGUGGGGGCUAACGUCCGGAAACGGGCGCUAAUACCGCAUACGUCCUGAGGUAGAAAGUGGGGGAUCUUCGGACCUCACGCUAUCAGAUGAGCCUAGGUCGGAUUAGCUAGUUGGUGGGGUAACGGCCUACCAAGGCGACGAUCCGUAACUGGUCUGAGAGGAUGAUCAGUCACACUGGAACUGAGACACGGUCCAGACUCCUACGGGAGGCAGCAGUGGGGAAUAUUGGACAAUGGGCGAAAGCCUGAUCCAGCCAUGCCGCGUGUGUGAAGAAGGUCUUCGGAUUGUAAAGCACUGUAAGUUGGGAGGAAGGGCAGUAAGUGAAUACCUUGCUGUUUUGACGGUACCAACAGAAAAAGCACCGGCUAACUUCGUG